rnacentral:rRNA from 1 species
UACGAAGGGAGCUAGCGUUGUUCGGAAUCACUGGGCGUAAAGCGCACGUAGGCGGCUUCUCAAGUCAGGGGUGAAAUCCUGGAGCUCAACUCCAGAACUGCCUUUGAUACUGAGAGGCUCGAGUCCGGGAGAGGUGAGUGGAACUGCGAGUGUAGAGGUGAAAUUCGUAGAUAUUCGCAAGAACACCAGUGGCGAAGGCGGCUCACUGGCCCGGUACUGACGCUGAGGUGCGAAAGCGUGGGGAGCAAACAGG